AGACAUAGAGUUAAGAACGCUAGAGUGCGCACUCGGACCCAAUCUAUUGUUUUGAAGUGUGGCGAGUAUGCACAGGCAAGAUGGCGGAUAUAGAGUGGCAAAAGAGCACAGAGGCAAAAUUAGCUGUUUUUGGUCAGGUUUUUAACACAAAAGUGACAAUUUGACAAGGUUUACCGGCAGGAUGUGACCGGAAAAGCAAGUAAGGGAUAUGAGAAGGGCAAAUAAUAAUCACAUUAUUGGAAAAAGUAGCUGUAAAUGGUCAACAGCGACGUAACGACGUGUCGUUGGCAAGCCCCGUUAAAUCAAGUUUGGAUCAAGUAAAUGGGAUUGCAUUGAAUGAUCUUCUAAGGACAAAAAUACCCGAUUUUUCACAAUUUGUAUUACGCUGACCACAACCUUUUCUACACUACUCCUUGAUACAUCUUGCCAUUGAAGUAAUAGUUCCCUUGCCAAUUUGUCGGUCACUUUCACCACUUCAAAAGUGGAUAGAGAAGGAACAAAUAAAUUGCCAUAUGCUUUGAAUGACAGAAGAGUGGACUUCAUCUUGAACACUUGAUCCCUCCGUGCACUUGGUUGAUACAAUGCAACUGCACAUUCAGGACAUUUCAUGGUGGCAACCAUUUUUUUGGCAAUGUAGCCACUGAUGUAGUACAAUGCAUCAAACCUCCAGUUUGUGGAUGUGUUUAACAAGGCAUGGACAGCAGGAUCAAUAGUUUGGCUUUUGUCAUUAAAAGUUGUAUCAUCAAUAACAUCAUUGGUGCCCUCUGGCAAAUCAUUCAAGGCUGUGAUGCAAUUGGCAGUAUUUGGAGCCUCAACAUUGUUCCUAAUAAGGAGUGCUCUUAUUGCAUGUUUGAAUUGCAAAGCAUUUGGAUUGUUGUUCCAUCCAAAACGACCUCUGAUCUUACUGAAGAACAUUUCAAGUGCAUCUUGGGAGAACCUGUAUGACAUGACAUAGCUAAAGCUAUUGGAUUCCCUUGAAAGUAGAGACCUACUUAUUGCUAGGAUGGACUUUGCAGUGGUAAGAAAACCAACUAUAAAUGUCUUUCGCCUACCCUGAUGUAUAAGAUUGCCCUCUGAAUCACGCAGUUUUGUCAAGUAAUCUCCAGUUUCUUGUACAUAGUUUUCUAUAACGUCAAUAUUAUCUAGAUAUAUUGGUUGUUUUGUUUUCUUUUUACAGCAAUCUGACUUGGGAUUUCAAGGCCAUUACAGCUGUAGUCAGAUGCUUUGAAAUGUUUCUCACACAAAACUGAACUCUUAGUGGGUGUCCAAUUUUGGCGUCUUGUGGCAGUAACCCAUUUGCAUAGCAAGUCUGGUUUAUUUAUUGGAAACCUGUAAAAGUUGUUUAGUAGUUAUCAGCUUUCUAAAGCAAUCUUGUGUCAUGAUCAUUCUGUUUUUGCAAUAAUUUCUUUUAGUUCUAUGUACUUAGAAUGAAAUAAACCCAAGUCUUAUCAUAGGUACAUUAGAAAAGUUGAAACAUUGAAUAAAUGAUUGGUAUUUUUACAUUAUUUUCCAAAGCUAAGAUAUUUGUAUUACAGACAACAGGAUUUCGAAGAUAAUUAAUAGAGAGUGCGGGAAAAUAACCGACCCAAGCGAGGCUCAAACUCACUCAAUAAGAGAGGGGCAGUGCGGGUGAAUGACUCGGCCUUGGGUGUUGGCUUGAAAGCACGACCCGAUAGCUCAGCGGUAGAGCACUUGACGUACAUAGUCAGGGGUCGUGAGUUCGAGCCUCGCUCGGGUCAGUUAUUUUCCCGCACUCUCUAUUAAAUGUUUGUAUUAAUGAAAUAAUUUCAAAGAAAUGUAAGUAAAUAUAUAGAACAAGUCAUCAAAUUAGUACUGUUUCCAUUCUUUUUUAAUGUUUUGAUUUCUGAUAUAAAAGAUUGUUGUAAUCCUUUAGUAAUCCUACCCAUAGAUUGCCAAUAAGAAUUAUCUGUUCACCAAAGAAAAUUGUUAAUAUUGCUGUCAGAUAGUAAAAUGCCUUUAAGAACAAAGAAAAUAUAAAUUAACUGUUAACAGGGGUUUAAAAACUGGUGAUUCAAAACUCAAACAAUAGCAUAUGCUGAUAAGUCUGAAAUUUGAAUGACAAGAGGGGAGGGUUUCUUGUAGAGAACAAAUUGUUUUGUCCCACUACUGGUGGACUCUGUUUGGUCCAGCAUCCAUUGCUAUGCUCACGUGUUAUUCUAUAAAAAUAUGCUCAUAUGAUAGGCCCCAAUUUGUGGUUUGCCCUAAUAGAAUUGCAUCAUUUAAAGAUAUUCUUGGGGGGAGUUCUCAAUCCAGUAAAUUUAAUCAUGUAUCAAAAUUAAAUCUCAGCAAUGUUUGACAAUUGCCAGGGCCAUGGAAAGGAUAGCCAAGGGCCCCGGGUCAGUAACCCCCUGACCCCCUUGGCAAUGGGUUACAUGGAUCCGUGAGAUAUUUGCAACAGGCAUUCAGACCAGGUAGAUUUCCCUGCCUGGGUUGCAAGCUUAGGAAACAGUUUAAAAUGGUAUAUUUCCCUUGAUGUAUAUACUAUGUACAUAGGCCCCGAUGAAAGUGGGGGUGGGGGGCAAGGGCACAUCCAAGGCUCAUAAUAAAAGAUUUUGCUACCAAGCUCUCUUUGUUUGAACAAAUUUUUAGGCGGUCCUGUUGUUUAACAACAUUUUCUUGUGCGACCCAUUCCCGUACACCAGGGUAUUCGACCAUCACCCUCCCUGGUGAACCAAGUCUCCAUACGAAAUUAUUUUGGUUUUUGUCCACUGGACCACUCAAGGGCUAACUCCCUUCCUUAAGGUUAAAAAUUGGCUUUUUGGAGUUAUAAGUAAAAAUAAAAAAAUAUAAUUGGCUCAAUUUUGUUUUAAACUGAAGCUACUUGCAUUCUUACUUACUUGUGGAAGGUUAAAUUUUUAUUUUCCCCUUCACUCCUUAUUGUGCAAUUGUAAGCUGAACAAGACUUCGGCAUAUUGAACAACGUAAUCGUAUACUUGUACACUGUUAACAAUAAAGAUAAACGAUAGAAACGCGAAUAGAAACGAGCUGAUAGCGUAUGGUCGCAGAAAUACCGAAAUGAGUAAACAAAGUUUCGCGCGCAAUCUUUUUGCCACUCUAAAGCUACCAUCUUGAAUCCCCUGUGCUGCCACAGGUCACGUGGUACUGUCGGCACUCUAGCGUUCUUAACUCUAUGAUCCAGUCACACUUCCAUUAUCUUUGAUUCCAUCAAAUUGCUUCUAAAAACGGGAUACGAAAUAGAAUUUUUUAAAUAAUAUUUAUCAGUCUAAUGCUUAAAGAAGCGCAGUACAUUUCCCAUGAUUUGUCAAGAACUUUCUCCGUUCGAGAUCGACCCAUGAAACAUAGGCGGCGCAAGGUGGAGAGCUGGGGGCUUCAGCUCCCCCCCAUUUUUCCUUGCAAAAAUUUAUUUUUGAGCAAAUAAAAAGAGCAUUUGAAAAAGUAUAAAG